UUUCUGUAACCGGCGGAUCAGUGGAAAAACCACAUGGGAGCAGAAAAUAAUAUUGCCGACCGCCUGGGCAGUCC
rnacentral:ncRNA from 1 species